UUGGCCAUUGGCUAGGCAGAAGUAUAGGCGGGACAAGGAGGAGAAUAAAGCUGGGAAGUGGAAGGCUGAGUCAGAGAGACACUGCCAGCUGCCACGAUGAGAAACAGCUUGUGAAGAUGCCGGUAAGCCACGAGCCAUGUGGCAAGGUAUAGAUUAAAGGAAAACUUGAGCUACAGUCAGGAACUGGUCCCAUCAUAGACAAUUUGUUUUUGAAGACAGGAGAAACAUCUUCACAGACUCUGGAGGGUACACACCUGUGGAGUAGACACCACGGAAAUUCUUAGACAGCUAUUUUGACAAGCCUCCUGAGAGAGCUCAUGCAACUCCACCUCCCAUCAUCUAAACAGCCUGCCUCUACCAGUGUAGGGUAAGCAUAGGUGUAAGUAAAUUGUUUUCAAAUC